UGUCUGAACAUGGGGGGACCAUCCUCCAAGGCUAAAUACUCCUUACCGACCGAUAGUGAACCAGUACCGUGAGGGAAAGGCGAAAAGAACCCCUGUGAGGGGAGUGAAAUAGAACCUGAAACCGUAUACGUACAAGCAGUAGGAGCAGACUUGUUCUGUGACUGCGUACCUUUUGUAUAAUGGGUCAGCGACUUACAUUCAGUGGCGAGGUUAACCGAAUAGGGAAGCCGUAGAGAAAUCGAGUCCGAAUAGGGCGAUUCAGUCGCUGGGUGUAGACCCGAAACCAAGUGAUCUAUCCAUGGCCAGGAUGAAGGUGCCGUAACAGGUACUGGAGGUCCGAACCGACUAAUGUUGCAAAAUUAGCGGAUGAACUGUGGAUAGGGGUGAAAGGCUAAUCAAA
rnacentral:rRNA from 1 species